AUAAAGAACACAUGUGACAGCAAGUCCAGGUAUUACUAGAUGUGGAAUACAAAAAUUUGUUUAUCUACCCGGUUGUGUUGUGUAUUCUGGUCAGUUCAUGUGUGUAUGUGUUGCCCUCGCGGUGUACGAGAGGCCGCCCAUGAGGAAGUCGCCGAUCUGGUCGAGGCAUGUUGCUAUUCUCUAUUUCCGGUAGCACAAACAUUUAAAAGUUCGAACACCAAACCCUGGUAAGUUCAUCUUGACAAAAACUCAUCUCCCAUAUUUGUUCCUUUUUCGUAGGAUGAAGUCAAAACAAGAUGCACAAGUUCAUAUUUUCUAUGCUUUUCAGUUCAUCUACUUCCCGAUGGUGAGUCUGAUUUCCUUUGUGUUUCCAUCUCCUUCAUAUAGCACAAACAAGUACUUGUCAUUGUGCUUGAGAAUGAGCACCAUACUAUCACUUUGGUUAAUGAAUUUUGUAGAAAUUUCUCUCGGAAUUCUAAUGUAGAACUGCUGCUAACUUCACAAUUAUAAGGACCAUGCAUGUUAUCCAAUGAGCCAUCAAUUGAAGCAAUUUCGAAUACAGAGAGGCAAAUACACAUGGUUCCCAACUAAUAGAUACUAAUGUUCUUUUAGCACAUUGCUAGUAGUUGUAUCAGUUACCUUUCUUUUGGAGCUAUGUAAUUGAUAAAUAACCAAGAGGAAAAGUGCACCAUCCCAACUACUCGCCGCCCCCACGCGUGGUUGCUUUCCUCCUCCCGUGCACGUAUGCCACCUCAGCUGCUACAAAUUCUUGUGUGGGUCACCGUUCCUCACUCUGGAAUGUGUCACCACCACCAUGACCUCCCCCAGCCAGCCCCCACGGCCUGCCUCAAUGGUGCCAGGCAUGCCCUCGAGCUGGUCUAGAACCACCACGACGUCCAGCACCGUUCCCUUACAUAUGUGAGGUGCUCGUGUGUUGGGGUGUUGCAUCUACGGCGAGGUCGCCGUACUGCACCAGCUCCAUGUCACUAACCUCAUCUCUGGUUUCUCUUCUAUAUGACCUAUAGGGGUUCUUCGGUGGAGGUUCAACAAAAUGACCAGCAUCAGUUCAUGCCUCCAUCCACCACGCCAUCAGGAACACAAUUGGUGAGAAACACCUUCGUGCUCCUCCUCUCCUACUCUUCAGUUCACAUACUGCCAUCCAUGAAGGCCAUUUUUUCUUGGAAUCUAGAUUUUGAUCAGAGCUCUGUAAAAAGUCCAUUUAAAAGUACUCAAGUCCAACUUGAAAACCAAUAGCAGUCCACUAGAUGAAAAAUUUAGUGCUCAUCAGUACGACAAGCAGCAAUACUGAUUAGUAUGACUUACACAAAUACUAGUACUGAUUAGUACUUUCUUAAUGUUAAAGAUGAGCAGUAAAAGAUACAAGUUGCAGUUCCAGGGCAAUAACAUACUAGGUAAAGCUGAAUGUACCUAACCAGUUCAAUAACAUCAUCUCCUUGGCAAAAAAGUAGUUAAAAAGGUCGAACUGACAUCUGCUUCAGAAUUUCGCACAAAAAAUAUUUAUCUGUAUUUGUCUUUUUCAUGUUGAAUUAUUUGAAGUAAAACAAAAAUAGCUCAGUUCUGUGACUUUCAUCAUUUGAAGAACUACAUGCCUCAUGUUUGAACUUUCAAUUUGUUUAAAACUAAACUGAUGGUGCUCUUGUUUCAGGGUCAGGGGAGAAGGCAGAAUCUCUGGGUGCAUGAUGGAAAAAAUUGCAAGUUCUUGUUUAGAUGUUCAGGAUACCCUUCUCUCAUUUCAUUUAUGCUCAGGAUAGGAGGUGCAUGAUGGAAAAUUGCGUAUCAUGUAGUUCUUGUUUAGAUGUCGUGCAAGUUCAAAAUUAGUCAAUUUUGCCACUGGAGAGAACCCGUUGGUUGCAUUGUUUUUCCAGUGUGACGUCCCUUGGUAUGUUUGGAGUAUUGUUAUUGUUGCUCUGCAUGCAAAUGACUUAGCUUGUCUUGCUAAGAUGAGGAUGCUUGUGCGUGAGUCUUGAAAUUUAAGAGGUCGGGGGAGAUGAAUAAUU
rnacentral:lncRNA from 1 species